rnacentral:rRNA from 1 species
UACCAGCACCCCGAGUGGUCGGGACGAUUAUUGGGCCUAGAGCAUCCGUAGCCGGUCCUACAAGUCUUCCGUUAAAUCCACCUGCUUAACAGAUGGGCUGCGGAAGAUACUAUAGGGCUAGGAGGCGGGAGAGGCGAGCGGUACUCAGUGGGUAGGGGUAAAAUCCGUUGAUCCAUUGAAGACCACCAGUGGCGAAGGCGGCUUGCCAGAACGCGCUCGACGGUGAGGGAUGAAAGCUGGGGGAGCAAACCGG